GAGAUAACAACUCACAAUUCAAAACUGAACCAGGAAAGAAAGAAAGAAUCAGGCAAUGCUUUAAAACAAACAUAGAUUUUAUUGAAGACGACAAAUUGAAUCACAUCAUAACAUAUAACAUAAAUGUAAAACCAAACGGAAAAUGUGUUGCUGCAGAUCGAUCCAAGUUAAACGCAAGGGUCACCGCUCAUCACCAGUUUCUAUUGCCACAACCGUUUGCUUUACAGGGGCUCUAUCAACCGACAAUACAAGAUGCCGACGCUUCGUCCCUGUCACGUUGGCCUUCCUCGGAGUGCAUUCCGCAUCUGUGUUCCACUAUUUCAAUAUGCUAGUUCUAUUUGUCGACGAUGAAGGUCCGCGUUUUGACGGAGACGAGUAAGGAAAUAGAUCGCGAUUGAGAUGGCGGAGAGGGUUGACGAACGGAGAGUGGAGCUGGUGAUUGUUUAUGGAUGAUUCGGCGGUGAUUGUAGAUCUGGCCGAGGGUUAUUAGGAUAAUGAUGAUGGAAGUGGGUUAAGAGGAUUCGUCGGCGAGGCGGAGGGUUAAAGGUUUAGCGGUGGUUGAAGAUUUAUGUGGUGGUCGACUAGAUCAGUGGUGGAUUUGUGAACGGAAGAUGGAGGAUGAUGGAGGGUGAAUGACGGUGGUUCCUGGGGUUCGUCGGCGGAUUGCGCUUUGUUUUUUGUUGUUGGUGAGCGGUGGAAUCGAAGCUUGGAGUGAGUGGAAUGGGGUUUUCCGGCAAGAUCGGUGGUAGUUGAGUUUAGCGAUGGAGGUGUCGUGUGGGUUAACGGCAAUGGAGGUUGUGCAUUUGAAGAUGGGUUGAGAUGGUGGUAAAUGGUGGUGGUUAUGAGAGAGGAAGAAGGAUUUUUAUUUGUUUUAUCUUUUUCAGAGAGAGAGAGAUGAGAUUUGUGAGGAAUUGAAAGAGUGGAGGUAGCGUGAGGGAGUUUGAGAAUUCUGUUGUGAGAUUCUCUUAUUAGAGUGUGAGGAGUUUGUUAGAGGGCGCGUGGGGAGAGUGAAGAAAGAUUUUUAUUAUUAUAUUUUCUUUACUAAAUAAUCUAGAAAGAUCCUUUUAGUGGCAGUUGGGAAUGGAAGAGCUGUCAACUUGCAAGACAAAAAGAAUCCAAUGCUAUCUAUAUACAUUUAUUUGAAAUCUGAAAAUUAUAAAGUAUUUAACAAUUAUAUUAAAAAUAGAAUCAAUUCACCAAAAUAAAUUCAAACUAAUUACGUAAUAAAUUCUAAUUUAUUCCAAUGAUAUCUUGAUUAAGAAAAUAAAAGUCGGGAACAAAUAUUCUCGAAAAAUUAAAUUGGACAAGCUAAAAUGAUCAGCACAAAAUAUAUUUAUUGAAAAAAUACAGCGUUUUCUUCAAAUUUUAAUGAUUCAACCGAUUUGUCUGUAUUCUCAAAUAAAUUCAUUCUGACUGACAUUUUAGGUACUAUUCAUGAUGGAAUGUAUGUCAUGCUAUGCAUAUGAUGCAAAAAUAAAAAUGAAAUCAAUUCUGUGAAAAUUUAAAUAUGCCCGGACAAAAUUGGGGUAUGACAGUCCCUACCCUGCAACAAGUAAAGUCUUGGUUGGGGAAAUGCUUUUCUAUGAAGGACCUAGGUGAAGCAGCCUAUAUUUUAGGAAUUAAAAUCUAUAGAGAUAGAUCACAAAAACUGCUUGGCCUAAGUCAGAGUACAUACAUAGACAAAGUGCUGAGACGCUUUAAUAUGCAUGAUUCCAAGAAAGGAUUCAUACCUAUGCAACAUGGCCUGUGUCUAUCAAAAACACAAUCCCCUUCAACUAAGGAAGAAAGGGAUCGCAUGAAUAAGAUUCCAUAUGCAUCUGCAAUAGGAUCUAUCAUAUAUGCCAUGUUAUGUACUCGACCAGAUGUCUCGUAUGCUUUAAGUGCAACGAGUAGGUACCAAUCUGAUCGUGGUGAUGCCCAUUGGCUAGCUGUCAAGAAUAUCCUUAAUUACUUGAGAAGGACUAAGGACUCAUUCUUGAUAUAUGGAGGUCAGGAAGAGUUAGCUGUAUUUGGAUACACUCAUUCUAGCUUCCAGACAGAUAAGGAUGACUUUAGAUCACAAUCUAGUUAUGUGUUUUGCUUAAACGGUGGCGAUGUGAGCUGGAAAAGUUCAAAGCAAGAUACAGUUGUUGAUUCUACAAUCGAGGCCGAGUAUAUUGUUUCCUCAAGUGAAGCAAAGGAAGUUGUUUGGAUCGAAAAGUUCAUUAGUGAACUUGAAAUAGUUCCUAGCAUUGUGGGUCCCAUUGGUCUCUAUUGUGAUAACAAUGGUGCUACCGCACAAGCUAAGGAGCCUAGAUCUCACCAACGAUCCAAAUACAUACUCAGGCGUUAUCACCUCAUUCGAGAGAUAAUAGAUAGAGGAGAUGUGAAAAUAUGUAGAGUACCUACACUUGACAAUAUUGCUGACCCACUGACAAAGCCUCUUGCGCAGCAGCCAUACUAGAUCAAUGGCAUUAGGGGUAUGCCUGAUUGGCUCUUAGUGCUAGUGGGAGAUUGUUGGUGUAGCCUAGAGGCAAUACUUUUGGUACUUGUAUCGAAUAUUUAUUAAUUAAUAAAAGGCUUUUUCUUUAUUAUGUUUGAUUAAUAAAGUCCCUAGAAUAGCUAGUCCGUUUAAUGUAUCAAGUAUGACUUAAUCAUGAGAUCACAUUAAACAUAAGGACAUUAUUCUAUCCGUAGUCGAGCUUUAUUGUGAAGUGGGAUAACAUUAAAGCAUUAAGACUAUUAUGUUUGUAGAUCGAUGAUCACAUCUCAUGGAUCAUGGAUAAAGAGUUAUCAAGUCUUAAACAUAGGUAUGAAUAUUAAGAGUAAUAUUUAUACCACAUUGACCCGCUAUGAGAAUACUAUAUAGAAAGUUAUGCAAAGUUUCAUAAGUUACUCUCAUGGUGAUAAUGGUGUAUACCACUCUUCAACCUGAAACCACUAUGGAUCCUAGAUGUAGAGUCGAGUGCUUUAUUGCUGAUCCAACGUUGUCCGUAAUUGGAUAACCAUAAAGACAGUUGAUGGGUAUUCCACGAAGCAUGGUGAGGGACAUGAGUGACCUAGAUGGAAUUUGCCCAUCCUACGUAACAGGAUAAAUGUCUACGGGCCCAAUAUUGAACUGGACAAGGAUGACACGGUCUAUACCUUGUGUUCAAUAUAGACAUAAGGGCAAAGGGGUAAUUAUAUACAUAAUUAUUAUCACAGGAGGUUUUGUCAGAUCACAUGACAUUGUAGCAGAGAUGUUGUGGCUAAUACCGCUCCACUUAAGUUUAUUCAUGUUAAAUGCGAUUUAAUAUAAGUGCCACCGUCGCGAAAACCUACAGGGUCAACACAAAGGUACGGUGUACUUAAGUAGAAUACGAAAUAUGGUAAGGUACCAAAUACUUAAGUGAUUUUGGUAUAUUAUGAGAUAUGGGCCAAAAUACACUUAAGUGGGCUUUUAGCUUGAAGCCCACACAAGUGGUUCUAUAAAUAGAACACUUGGGUAGAAGCAUUGAGACUCAGACUAAGACUCAAGUGAAGACUUGGAAUUUCGUUUCUCUCUCUCUCUCUCACUCAAAGCCUUCAUUCAUAGCAGCUAGCACUGAGAUUGAAGGAAUCCGUUCGUGUGGACUGAGUAGAGACGUUGUCAUCGUUCGACGUUCAUGAUCGCUCCGUGGAUUUGUAUCCAAGAUUUUGAUCGUUACAAGAGAUAUGCACCAAAGGUUUGAAUCUCCACAAGAGGUAACGAUUCUAUCACUGAUCAUGCCCAUUCGUAAGGAUCACUAAAUGGAGGAAUUUUUAAAUUCCGCUGCGCCUUGGAUGGCAAUUCUCCUUCAGCUGCAACGGCUCACUUUGUGUCAUCUAUGCCAGCCGGGUUCCCUUGGGGAAUGCCUGCCAACUUUGUACCCGAGGGUUUUGCUCCAACUCUCGCUUCUCUGCCGGCAUCUAGGCCGGUCCUUUCUGUGCCACCUCCCGUUGUGCACACCUUACCUAGAGUGGAAGACACCAUCUAUCAUUCUGAGCCACCUGAGGGCCCAAAUGUUUAUGAAAAGAUGGACGAGAUGAAAGACCAAUUCCUUGAGCUGCGCAAGGAACUGAAGACUCUGAGGGGUAAGGACCUCUUUGGUAAAAGUGUUGAUGAGUUGUGCCUUGUGCCCAAUGUUAGGAUCCCGAUUAAAUUCAAAGUGCCUGACUUUGAGAAAUAUAAGGGAAACACCUGCCCUCUUAGCCAUCUUGUGAUGUAUGCUCGCAAUAUGUCAACGCAAACAGACAACGAUCAACUUCUUAUCCACUUCUUCCAGGACAGUCUGUCUAGUGCUGCUCUCCGAUGGUACAUGGGUCUGGAGAGUGUAAACAUCCUCUCCUUCAACGAUCUUGGCGAGGCCUUUGUCAAACAAUACAAAUACAAUGUGGAUAUGACUCCCGAUAGGGACCAGUUAAGGGCGAUGUCCUAGAAAGAGAAAGAGACUUUCAAAGAGUACGCCCAGAGAUGGCGCGAGUUGGCAGCUCAGAUAGUGCCACCCCUUGAAGAGAAAGAAAUGACAAAGAUCUUUUUGAAGACUUUAAGUUAUUUCUACUAUGAGAGGAUGAUUGCCAGUGCUCCCUCGGACUUCACCGAAAUGGUGAAUAUGGGAAUGAGACUGGAAGAAGGAGUCCGUGAAGGACGUCUAUCCAAGGAUGAAGGCUCUUCAGCAAAGAGAUAUGGGAGCUUUGCGAAGAAGAAGGAGGGAGAGGCACAUGUUGUGUCCUCCCAUAUCAAGAGAAGACCCUCUGUGAAGAGGAAGAAUGUGCGUCUUGCCGUUAGCCAACACCAGGUGGCUCAUAUAGCACCUGCCUUUAGAGAAGUUCAACAUCAUCAAUAAUAAUAACAACAACAAUAUCAACAACAACAUCGUCCACAACAACAGGCCUACCAGCCUCGAAACAACAAUAACACCAGCACCAGCUACGAUAGGAAGAGGGUCACUUUUGAUCCAAUUCCAAUGACUUAUGCUGAACUUUAUCCUUCUCUGAUCGAUAGAAAGUUGAUUACUCCACGAGACCCUCCCGCUAUACCUACCAACCCUCAGUGGUGGUAUAAGCCUGAACUACACUAUGUAUAUCAUUUCGGUGCUCCUGGACAUGAUGUGGAGAAUUGUUAUCCCUUGAAGACCAAGGUGCAAGACCUUGUGAGAAGUGGAUUUUUUUUUCCGAGGACGUAGGUCCUAAUGUGAGGAAGAACCCAUUGCCCGAGACAGGGAAAGCUGCUGUGAAUAUGGUCCAGGGUUGUCCUGGUAAAUAUAAAGUCCUGUAUGUCAAUGAUAUCAGGCAAUCUUCGGUCGAGAUGCAUAAACUGUUGUGUGGAUACAAUCACUAUGAGCAUGACCAUGACAGGUGCCAGGUGUGCACUGUCAAUGAGAGAGGAUGCCAACAAGUUAGAAAGGACAUUCGAGAGAUACUGGAUCAGGGAAUGAUCGAGAUACUUCAAAAUCGCAACGAGGAUGAAGUUGAUGUUAUCUCUCCUGUAUUCAGGAUUCCAGAACCUGUUGUUGUCAAAUAUAAUGGCAGCAAAAAGAAGGUCUCUCCAACUCUUGUGAUUAAACCAGUGGGCCCUGUCCCGUACGUAUGUGACAAAGUUGUUCCCUACAGAUACAAUGUAGUGAUGCUAGAGGAUGGGAAGGAGGUGCAGUUGCCCUCAACCUCUAUUGUGAGCAUCUCAGACGUCAGUGGUGUGACCCGUAGUGGUCGUAUUUUCUCGGCUCCGCUGAAAUCCCAUGAAGACGUUGUGGGGAAAGCUGUGGUUAAUCCUGCCGGUCCCGUGGGGACUUCUUCUUCUGAUAAUAUUAUUGUGAAGGGUAUUGACCCUGUUGUUGAUAGAACUCCUGUCCUGGUUGGCCAGCAUGGCAUUCUGAAAGAGGACUGUGAUGAGAUGCUGAGAAUCAUCAAAAGGAGAGAAUAUAAUGUUGUUGAUCAGCUGCUACAAACUCCAUCAAAGAUAUCUGUGUUAUCUUUGUUGAUGAAUUCUGAGCCACACCGAGAAGCUUUGCAGAGGGUGUUGGACUUGGCAUACGUGGACCACGAUGUCACUAUUGAGCAGUUUGAUAGCAUUGUUGCAAACAUAACUGCUUGUAACAAUUUGAGCUUUUGUGAUGCUGAUCUUCCCGAGGAGGGAAAAGACCACAAUUUGACUCUACACAUUUCAAUGAAUUGCAAAGAUGAUGCCUUGUCUAAUGUGUUGGUAGACACAGGAUCAUCGCUUAAUGUGUUGCCAAAAUCCACUCUGGCUAAUCUUUCUUAUCAGGGGCCUCCUAUGAGGCAGAGUGGAGUGGUUGUUAAAGGUUUUGAUGGAUCGAGGAAAACUGUGAUUGGCGAAGUAGAACUCCCGAUCAAGAUUGGACCUAGUGAUUUCUAGAUCACUUUCCAGGUCAUGGAUAUCCAUCCAUCAUACAACUGUUUGCUUGGUAGAUCAUGGAUUCACGAGGCAGGCGCCGUGACAUCCAUCCUACACCAGAAAUUGAAAUUCGUUAAGAAUAAGAAGUUGGUGGUGAUAGGGGGAGAGAAAUCUCUCUUGGUUAGCCAUUUAUCUUCCUUUUCCUACAUAGAUGCUGAGGAUGAGGUUGGAACUCCGUUCCAAGCCUUGUCUAUUGCUGAGCCUUCAAGGAAAUGACUUUCUUCAUUUGCUUCCUACAAUGAUGCUAAGUUGGCCAUUGAGCAUGGUGUAACUACUGGUUUGGGGCAAAUGAUCAAAUUGGAAGAUAAUAAAUCCCGAGCUGGCAUAGGGUACUCUUCCGGUGUUUCUAAUGAGCGUGGGUUAUUCCAGAGUGGAGGUUUCAUCCACAAUAUUGAAGAUCAAGAGGCUGCUUCCAUCGUUGAAGAUUUAUACAAUGAGCGUGGCACAUAUUUGAUUUAUACAAUGAUAUCCACUCAAAAAUUACAUGUUAAAUGUUUGUUUUUCCAAAUUAUUUUCCCUUUUUUCUUUUUGCAUGAAAUUGGUGAUCACCAUAAAACCCUAAAUAGAGAAUAAAAUCAAUAUUUUCAUCUGCAUAAUGAUUUGCCUUGUUUGAAUUCUGAAAUUUCUUUUAUACUCAAAAUCAUUAUGCAGGUUGAUCAAACCCAUUGAACAUAAUGAUCCAACACCAUCUCCCAACUUUGAGUUCCAUGUAUUUGAGGCAGGAGAAGAUGAUGUUGAAGAGAUUCCUGAUGAGAUUACCCGUCUGCUUAAGCACGAGGAGAAGAUCAUUCAUCCGCAUCUUGAGAAUCUGGAAACAAUCAACUUGGGGUCUGAAGACUGCAUCCGAGAAGUGAAGAUUGGGGCACUCCUUGAAGAGUCUGUGAAGAAGGGGUUAAUUGAGUUGCUACGAGAAUAUGUCGAUGUCUUAGCCUGGUCGUAUGAAGACAUGCCUGGUCUAGAUACUGAUAACG
rnacentral:lncRNA from 1 species